rnacentral:rRNA from 1 species
ACAUAUUGUGAGCUCGAUGAGUAGGGCGGGACACGUGGUAUCCUGUCUGAAUAUGGGGGGCCCAUCCUCCAAGGCUAAAUACUCCUGACUGACCGAUAGUGAACCAGUACCGUGAGGGAAAGGCGAAAAGAACCCCGGCGAGGGGAGUGAAAAAGAACCUGAAACCGUGUACGUACAAGCAGUGGGAGCACGCUUAGGCGUGUGACUGCGUACCUUUUGUAUAAUGGGUCAGCGACUUAUAUUCUGUAGCAAGGUUAACCGAAUAGGGGAGCCGAAGGGAAACCGAGUCUUAACUGGGCGUUAAGUUGCAGGGUAUAGACCCGAAACCCGGUGAUCUAGCCAUGGGCAGGUUGAAGGUUGGGUAACACUAACUGGAGGACCGAACCGACUAAUGUUGAAAAAUUAGCGGAUGACUUGUGGCUGGGGGUGAAAGGCCAAUCAAACCGGGAGAUAGCUGGUUCUCCCCGAAAGCUAUUUAGGUAGCGCCUCGUGAAUUCAUCUCCGGGGGUAGAGCACUGUUUCGGCAAGGGGGUCAUCCCGACUUACCAACCCGAUGCAAACUGCGAAUACCGGAGAAUGUUAUCACGGGAGACACACGGCGGGUGCUAACGUCCGUCGUGAAGAGGGAAACAACCCAGACCGCCAGCUAAGGUCCCAAAGUCAUGGUUAAGUGGGAAACGAUGUGGGAAGGCCCAGACAGCCAGGAUGUUGGCUUAGAAGCAGCCAUCAUUUAAAGAAAGCGUAAUAGCUCACUGGUCGAGUCGGCCUGCGCGGAAGAUGUAACGGGGCUAAACCAUGCACCGAAGCUGCGGCAGCGACGCUUAUGCGUUGUUGGGUAGGGGAGCGUUCUGUAAGCCUGCGAAGGUGUGCUGUGAGGCAUGCUGGAGGUAUCAGAAGUGCGAAUGCUGACAUAAGUAACGAUAAAGCGGGUGAAAAGCCCGCUCGCCGGAAGACCAAGGGUUCCUGUCCAACGUUAAUCGGGGCAGGGUGAGUCGACCCCUAAGGCGAGGCCGAAAGGCGUAGUCGAUGGGAAACAGGUUAAUAUUCCUGUACUUGGUGUUACUGCGAAGGGGGGACGGAGAAGGCUAUGUUGGCCGGGCGACGGUUGUCCCGGUUUAAGCGUGUAGGCUGGUUUUCCAGGCAAAUCCGGAAAAUCAAGGCUGAGGCGUGAUGACGAGGCACUACGGUGCUGAAGCAACAAAUGCCCUGCUUCCAGGAAAAGCCUCUAAGCAUCAGGUAACAUCAAAUCGUACCCCAAACCGACACAGGUGGUCAGGUAGAGAAUACCAAGGCGCUUGAGAGAACUCGGGUGAAGGAACUAGGCAAAAUGGUGCCGUAACUUCGGGAGAAGGCACGCUGAUAUGUAGGUGAAGUCCCUUGCGGAUGGAGCUGAAAUCAGUCGAAGAUACCAGCUGGCUGCAACUGUUUAUUAAAAACACAGCACUGUGCAAACACGAAAGUGGACGUAUACGGUGUGACGCCUGCCCGGUGCCGGAAGGUUAAUUGAUGGGGUCAGCGCAAGCGAAGCUCUUGAUCGAAGCCCCGGUAAACGGCGGCCGUAACUAUAACGGUCCUAAGGUAGCGAAAUUCCUUGUCGGGUAAGUUCCGACCUGCACGAAUGGCGUAAUGAUGGCCAGGCUGUCUCCACCCGAGACUCAGUGAAAUUGAACUCGCUGUGAAGAUGCAGUGUACCCGCGGCAAGACGGAAAGACCCCGUGAACCUUUACUAUAGCUUGACACUGAACAUUGAGCCUUGAUGUGUAGGAUAGGUGGGAGGCUUUGAAGUGUGGACGCCAGUCUGCAUGGAGCCGGCCUUGAAAUACCACCCUUUAAUGUUUGAUGUUCUAACGUGGACCCGUGAUCCGGGUUGCGGACAGUGUCUGGUGGGUAGUUUGACUGGGGCGGUCUCCUCCUAAAGAGUAACGGAGGAGCACGAAGGUUGGCUAAUCCUGGUCGGACAUCAGGAGGUUAGUGCAAUGGCAUAAGCCAGCUUGACUGCGAGCGUGACGGCGCGAGCAGGUGCGAAAGCAGGUCAUAGUGAUCCGGUGGUUCUGAAUGGAAGGGCCAUCGCUCAACGGAUAAAAGGUACUCCGGGGAUAACAGGCUGAUACCGCCCAAGAGUUCAUAUCGACGGCGGUGUUUGGCACCUCGAUGUCGGCUCAUCACAUCCUGGGGCUGAAGUAGGUCCCAAGGGUAUGGCUGUUCGCCAUUUAAAGUGGUACGCGAGCUGGGUUUAGAACGUCGUGAGACAGUUCGGUCCCUAUCUGCCGUGGGCGCUGGAGAACUGAGGGGGGCUGCUCCUAGUACGAGAGGACCGGAGUGGACGCAUCACUGGUGUUCGGGUUGUCAUGCCAAUGGCACUGCCCGGUAGCUAAAUGCGGAAGAGAUAAGUGCUGAAAGCAUCUAAGCACGAAACUUGCCCCGAGAUGAGUUCUCCCUGACCCUUUAAGGGUCCUGAAGGAACGUUGAAGACGACGACGUUGAUAGGCCGGGUGUGUAAGCGCAGCGAUGCGUUGAGCUAACCGGUACUAAUGAACCGUGAGG